ensembl:lncRNA
GUCGUUAAUGGUUCUGAGCUCUGCACACUCCUCAACAGCUACAAUAGAACCGAUCAGUUCCUGGAGAUGGAGCCUGUUUUGUCCUCAGCUCUGGCCAGCCACACGUUGGAGUGUGUGUGGCCUCGAGCUCUCAGUGCCUCAUCUCAGGCUGAUGUAGAACAGUGGUUUAAUGUCACCCUGGUUCACUACCUGCCCUACCUCAGUUCUCAGCUCAUCAGCGCUGCCGAACUCAGUGGCGCCUCCUGUCUGUCAUACAGGAAACUGGUGUCUGUCCUGGGGGACAACUACAACUUUUCCGCGACUGAUUUCACCCCGGCUGAUGUGUACAGCUCUAUGAAAGUGUAUCUGAACAGCAGCG